rnacentral:lncRNA from 1 species
GCAUGAUCUGCACAUGUACCCCAGAACCUAUAGUACAAUAAAAAAAAUACAAAAAUUAACUGGGUGUGGUGGUGGGCACCUGUAAUCUCAGCUACUUGGGGGGCUGAGGCAAGAGAAUUUGCUGGAACCCAGGAGGCAGAGGUUACGGUGAGCCUAGAUCCUGCCAUGCACUCCAGCCCAUGCCAACAACAGCAAGUCUCCAUCUCAAAAACGAAAAAAAAAACAUAGUUUGUCUAUUUACCAGUUAAAGGAUUUUUUAAUUGUUUUCAGUUGUUAGCAAUUAUUAAUUAUACAUAAAGAUGCUAAAAUGCUCACAUAAAGGUUUUUGUGUAAAAAAAGUUUUCAUUUCUCUUAGGUGAAUACGAGGCAUGGGAUUGCUGGAUUGUAUGAUAAGUGUAUAUUAAACUAUGUAAUUUCAACAAUGGAGGCUGCUUCUGGCUCCUCAGCAUCGUUGAUGGUAACCAGUCCUACAAUUCUCAUUAGGUGGUUCUGUUACCCCACUAUUUCCCUUGGGGUCUGUUGUGCCAAGGACAGGAUUGGUUGGGUAAAGGGGUGUGGCACAAAUAACCCUCAGGAACACAGGCCACAGAGCUAAUGAAGGGCCCCAAGGAAAGAAAGACCUGCCCAUCAGCAAUGAAUUCUCUCCCCCCAUGCCACAGACCUGAGGGCAUGUGACCCAGGAAUGUGCAUCCAAAGAUAAUACUACCUUCAGAGAACUCUACUUAUAGUUCCAUUUCUCUAUUGACUGAACACGGCGCAUCCUUCAUCAUGAUUCGUCUUUCAUCACUCACCUAUGCCCACUUCAUGAGUAUGAAGAAGAAACAGAUCAGCAGAAGAGACGUUUCCAAUUCUCCACUUUUGCACACAUCAUAUGGGUUGUCAAGAUUCACAGAAGUUCCAUAAAUGAGAGUUCUACAAUUAACCUCCAAUACCUUGACGAAGUAUGCGGAAGUUUGUCGGAGCACAAGGUAGCAGAAGCUGACUUCAGUAAUCCUGGCCCUCCUGAGUGCUCACGACAGUGUCAUGAGGCAAGAAUGCCUGGAGAGAGCGAGGUCACAGAUGUAAGAAUGGCAGUGGGGGGGCGCCAUGUUUGGUCUCCUUGGGACAAUUGGUCUGAAUCCCCUGAUCACUAUGUAUUGUGAAAAUAGUGAUAAAAUAAAACAACAACAACAAAAUUCUUUUUCAUCCAUUUUAUUGCUGAACAGAUUAGACGUCCGCUAGGUCGCUUCACAUCUAAACGCUGUAAUUUCACGUGAGCCUACUUUCACCCUGCCGCAC